rnacentral:misc_RNA from 1 species
AAGUCGUAACAAGGUUUCCGUAGGUGAACCUGCGGAAGGAUCAUUAAUGAAUGAAUGUAGAGAUCGGUUGUAGCUGGGUCUUUUAAUUGAGGCCAUGUGCACGCCUUCUCUUUCAUCCACACACACCUGUGCACCUGUUUAGACGGUCGAAGGAAAAAGUCUAUCUCGCGAGAGAGAGGCCGGCUCCUUUUCCGUCCAAUACAUAAAAUCUUAUAUAUUUAAUCAGAAUGUAAUCGAUGUAAACGCAUCUAUAAACUAAGUUUCAACAACGGAUCUCUUGGCUCUC